rnacentral:lncRNA from 1 species
AGAGGGCAAUGUUUCUUUGUUUUGUUUUUCAGGAAUGAAGUCAAGGAAAUAAUUCUUAUUCUGGUGAAAAUAAAAGCUUUACAUCAAGCAGAAUCCCUCACAGAAGAGUAUCACCUAGACCAUCUUAAAUCACUAAUUAAAGAAGUUUGAGUACACUUAAUAGGAAAGUACUAAAAUGAGAUUUAUAUAUUUUAAAAUAUAAUACUCAAUCCCUUUGCUUGCAAACAAAACAAAACAAAAAACAAAGCCUGGUGCCUUUUUAUUCCUUGUAAUGGAGGGUAGGAUUUCCAAAGAACAGAACUCCUCCCUCCAUUCCCUCCUUCUGCUUUCCUGGAAAACUGCCCUUCCUAAUUAACUGGUGCUUGAAGAAAUUAAAUGCACAGGAGCAGUAAGAGAUCAAUCUGUAUGUCUUUGAAUUUCUUUACUUUUAAAGACUCCUGUUUACAAUUAAUAAGGAAAUCUUAAUUAGAAAGAAUUAUGUGUUAACUGGAUAGUCAAAUUGUCCUUCAGAAAUCUGUACCAAUCUCUUGUACCAAGACCAAAUAAGCGUAAGAGUGCCACUGAAUCGCCACCAGUUAUUAUAUUUGACAGGUAAAAAGAAUUGUAAUUCUUUUGUUUUGGCUGUUAGCAAAAAAUAUAUUGGGUUGGACAAUUCAUUAUUCUUUUUGAAAUAUCCAUUCUUU